GUAUCCACGGCGCCACCGUCAUCCCCCGCGUCCCCGCAAGGCCGCAACUCCCUGCUCUCUCCUCCUCUGCCAGGGUCGCCGUGGCCUCCGAUUCCCUUUGCCAUUGCUGGUCCUGUCCCUCCUUCGUCGUGGCCUCAAUCGAAAUCGAAGAGACCAACGAAGAGGAAGGAUAAGCCGUCAGUGUCGUGUUUUGCUGCUCGUCGUCGUUCGCGGAUUCGAGGUCUUAUGCUUCGAUUUGAUUUCUUACAUUAGGAAUUGGAGAGCCGUGGUUGCUGCAUGUGUCUGCUCAUUUCAAGUGGAUAGUUAGGAGAUGCAGGCAGAUUGUGGAUCACACAUGCUUAAUCUGCAUAAAGUUCUGCUUCAGCCUUCAAGCACAUAGUUAGGCAAUACUGCAGCAGCUACUCAGCUGGUUUGAAGCAACGCAUGCCUACAUUACAGUGCUCCUCUCCCUCCCACCAACUCCUUGCAUCCAUGGGUGUGCCUUGCUCGGACCAAGGUGAGAGGCCAAAGAAGAUGAAGGAUGCAAGUUUGCACCCCCCCUAGGAUGGGAGAAGAGCGAUGUUGAUGCGGCAAUCUUGCCAAGGUGAAGGAUGCGAUGGAUUUUUCUGAUAAGUUGGGCAUGAAGCUUUCAUUUGUGCCAACUUUCAGUAUGAUCUACUCAUUCCAACUUCGUCAUAUGACAAGCUUGUGUCUCCUCUGUCGCUUUGCACAUGGUAUCAUUGGAUUGACACGGGGUAGCGGGAUUGGACGUUGAAUGAGAUUGUUGAAAGGUCUUGUCGUGCUUGGGGAAGCCUGUAUGCGGAUGAGCGUGCAGAAAGGACCGCUGCAAUACAACUAGGAGCAAUGACAUUAAUUUCCAAAGAUUGGAGGAAAAACGAUAUAGACUCUGCACGACGGAGGAGGAAUGGUUGUGAGAUAUGUGAGGCGGAAAGGCGAAGAAGGAGAAAAAGAGCCGGUCAUGUAUCUUAAUUUCAAUUGUAGUUGGCUAGGAGAGAUUUAUCCUAAUUUCAGCUGUAGCUAUUAAUUUCAGCAUCUAGAUGUAUAUUAAGUUAAUGUGGUAAUAGAAAAAUAGUACUAGU